GGAGAACCAUUUGUGUUUGCUCAUAAAUUGGUUUUGGAAUACCUUGGGAAUGUGUUGUGAUUUUGUGAAAACAUAUGCUUGUGGUUGUUUCUCAUGUGAGUAUAUCGAGAAUGUUGUUAUUGUUUUUACUGUUGUUAAUGAUUGUGGCAUGAUCUAUGACAACCAUUGGAAACCAAAGAACUUAACCGGGUGAGAUUUUGUGCCUCAGAGUUUUUAUCCAUGAGUGCUACCUCUUUUGGUUAAAAUUAACUUUGCUUGAGUUUCAUUGCUAGUUAUUAUUCAUGUGCAUGCUUACAUUGAAACAAGGUCCUCUUUCUUUCCCUCUUUGCAUCAUAUACCCAGAUUAGCCAAUUGUGUUUCAAAGAUUAGAACCCUUGUGUAAACUUUUCAGCAUUUAAAGAAACUUACCUUCACUUUUGAAACCUUAAGUCUUGUUGAAUAUGAUUGACAAUCUCACCUUGAUGGGAGAGUAAGGUUUCCAUGGACAGUAGUAUGAUUCAAGUGUGGGGGAAGUUAUUAUUUAAAAGGGAGCAUGAGUAACAAUGGUGAAUUGGUGUUGGUUGAUGUGAUGCAUUCUUGUAUAUAUGUCAUCUAUAAAAGAAAAAGAAAGAGAAAAUAGAAAAAGAAAAAGAAAAAGAAAAUAUAUGAAUAAGGUGACUGCAAGUGGGUGUUUGGUUGUUCUAGUUUUCUGACAAAAGAGAGUAUAAUGAUAAAACUGUAAAAAUGAUGUGAUUGCUCUCUUUGCUCCUUCACAUUACCUUGAUACACCAAUUUCCUUCUUUGCCUUGUCAGACCAUCAAAUAAAG
rnacentral:lncRNA from 1 species